AUUGAACGCUGGCGGCAGGCCUAACACGUGCAAGUCGAGCGGAUGAAGGGAGCUUGCUCCUGGAUUCAGCGGCGGACGGGUGAGUAAUGCCUAGGAAUCUGCCUGGUAGUGGGGGAUAACGUCCGGAAACGGGCGCUAAUACCGCAUACGUCCUGAGGGAGAAAGUGGGGGAUCUUCGGACCUCACGCUAUCAGAUGAGCCUAGGUCGGAUUAGCUAGUUGGUGGGGUAAAGGCCUACCAAGGCGACGAUCCGUAACUGGUCUGAGAGGAUGAUCAGUCACACUGGAACUGAGACACGGUCCAGACUCCUACGGGAGGCAGCAGUGGGGAAUAUUGGACAAUGGGCGAAAGCCUGAUCAAGCCAUGCCGCGUGUGUGAAGAAGGUCUUCGGAUUGUAAAGCACUUUAAGUUGGGAGGAAGGGCAGUAAGUUAAUACCUUGCUGUUUUGACGUUACCAACAGAAUAAGCACCGGCUAACUUCGUG
rnacentral:rRNA from 1 species